rnacentral:lncRNA from 1 species
ACAUUUAUAAUUUAAGCACAAACUCUCUAUAAACAACCAAUCUCACUCAUUCCCAAUUUUCCCUUUUCUUUGCAUUGAGCUUUUCUUCUCAUUCUAUCUUUUCUAUCUUUUUCAUCUUUUGCAUCUUUUCAUGCUUUGCUCAACACAUUAGCUCAAUGCUUAUCUUUCUUUCAAUUUUCCCAACAACCCCAAACUUGAACCUUAAUCAAUAC